CCUACGGGAGGCUGCAGUGGGGAAUAUUGCACAAUGGGCGCAAGCCUGAUGCAGCCAUGCCGCGUGUGUGAAGAAGGCCUUCGGGUUGUAAAGCACUUUCAGCGAGGAGGAAGGUGGUGAGCUUAAUACGCUCAUCAAUUGACGUUACUCUCAGAAGAAGCACCGGCUAACUUCGUGCCAGCAGCCGCGGUAAUACGGAGGGUGCAAGCGUUAAUCGGAAUUACUGGGCGUAAAGCGCACGCAGGCGGUUUGCUGAGGCCGAUGUGAAAUCGCCGGGCUCAACCUGGGAGAUGCAUUUGAAACUGGCAAGCUGGAGUCUCGUAGAGGGGGGUAGAAUUCCAGGUGUAGCGGUGAAAUGCGUAGAGAUCUGGAGGAAUACCGGUGGCGAAGGCGGCCCCCUGGACAAAGACUGACGCUCAGGUGCGAAAGCGUGGGGAGCAAACAGGAUUAGAUACCCUUGUAGUC
rnacentral:rRNA from 1 species